GGACCAAGGAGUCCUUCGAGUCGGCGAGCUAUUGGCGUCUCGCGAAUGCUAAAAGCGAAGCGAAAGCAUCCCCGCCACGUCGCCGUCGGUGACGACGGCUCGGGGCGCAGCGUGAGAUGAUGGCGACGGCGCGAGCGCGCGUCUCCGGACGCGCGCCGUCGCCGGCGUCCGCAAUCUCGAGAUGGUCUAGCGAAAGCCAUCCUCCGAGCCGGCGCGGAGGCACCCGAGAGGUGGUGAUCUAUGCCUGAUCAGGGUGAAGUGAGAGGAAACUCUGAUGGAAGCUCGUUAACGAUUCUGACGUGCAAAUCGAUCGUCCAAGUCAGGUAUAGGGGCGAAAGACCGAUCGAAGCACCUAGUAGCUGGUUCCUCCCGAAGUUUCCCUCAGGAUAGCUAGAACGAAGUCUGACAGAGAGAGAGAGGAGGAGUUACAUGUGGUAAAGCGAAUGAUUAGAGGCAUCGGAGUUGAAACGGCUUUGAACUAUUCUCAAACUUUCAAUAUGUGUGAACCGGUAGCUUGAGCGAAGUCUCGCGUCCGCGUUCGCGCGGGCGCGAGUUAAGCGACCGGCAAAUGAAGCGUUCUAAGUGGGCCGACCUUGGUAAGCAUGGCCGGCGAUGUGGGAUGAACCAAAUGCGAAGUUAGAGUGCCCAAAGCUAUGUUCAUGGGACACCACAAAAGGCGUUAGUAACUAAGGACAGCAGGUCGGUGGCCAUGGAGGUAG
rnacentral:rRNA from 1 species